rnacentral:rRNA from 1 species
UACAGAGGUCCCGAGCGUUGUUCGGAUUCAUUGGGCGUAAAGGGUGCGUAGGCGGCUUCCUAAGUUUGAUGUGAAAUCCUGGGGCUCAACCCUGGAACUGCAUUGAAUACUGGGAGGCUAGAGUACUGGAGAGGAAACUGGAAUUUACGGUGUAGCAGUGAAAUGCGUAGAUAUCGUGAGGAAGACCAGUGGCGAAGGCGGGUCUCUGGACAGUUCCUGACGCUGAGGCGCGAAGGCCAGGGGAGCAAACGGG